CCACAGCCUGGGAAAUUCACCUAACUAAACCUAAUGAAGAAAACCUAUGUUGUUGGUAACCAAAUACUGAGUUGGAGAUCAGAGCUCAGAUUCCUGCUCUAAGUUAUCAGCAAAAGCGUUCUAGGAUAUAUAAGCAGACAAGGAGGGUCUCUAGGAACCAUAGGAGUUUAAUCCACGUGAGCCAUCAGCCUGAUUUACAGCUUCCUGCCCUGCAGCCUGUUCUUCCCUAAACCCUGGGUGGACUAUAGUAACCUAGUUGGUUGAAACCAGCUCCUGACAGACCCUGGCAACUUAGAGAUGAACCCUGGUGAAUCUUCCUCAUGACUGUAACGUCUCCAUCCUGGAGGAACUGUAGUUCCGUUAUCAUAACAUGUAACCCAUGUGUUGCCAUGAUGACACUGUGUCUGCACCGCUGGGACCCCUCAUCUACAUGCGAUAAUGCACCCUCUCCCCUCUCCAUCACCCCAUAAAACCCUCCUGCCACUUUCCCUCAGGGAGACACUGCUUUGGAGAAUACACCCAGUGCUCCCCUUACUUGAGCCAAGUAAUAAAACUCCUAUUGAUCAAAAUCUGCAUUC
rnacentral:lncRNA from 1 species